rnacentral:rRNA from 2 species
AACUUUUAACAACGGAUCUCUUGGUUCUCGCAUCGAUGAAGAACGUAGCAAAGUGCGAUAACUAGUGUGAAUUGCAUAUUCAGUGAAUCAUCGAGUCUUUGAACGCAUCUUGCGCCUUUUGGUAUUCCAAGAGGCACGCCUGUUUCAGUA